GAUGAACGCUGGCGGCGUGCCUAAUACAUGCAAGUCGAGCGAACGGACGAGAAGCUUGCUUCUCUGACGUUAGCGGCGGACGGGUGAGUAACACGUGGAUAACCUACCUAUAAGACUGGGAUAACUUCGGGAAACCGGAGCUAAUACCGGAUAAUAUUUUGAACCGCAUGGUUCAAAAGUGAAAGACGGUUUUGCUGUCACUUAUAGAUGGAUCCGCGCUGCAUUAGCUAGUUGGUAAGGUAACGGCUUACCAAGGCAACGAUGCGUAGCCGACCUGAGAGGGUGAUCGGCCACACUGGAACUGAGACACGGUCCAGACUCCUACGGGAGGCAGCAGUAGGGAAUCUUCCGCAAUGGGCGAAAGCCUGACGGAGCAACGCCGCGUGAGUGAUGAAGGUCUUCGGAUCGUAAAACUCUGUUAUUAGGGAAGAACAAAUGUGUAAGUAACUGUGCACAUCUUGACGGUACCUAAUCAGAAAGCCACGGCUAACUACGUG
rnacentral:rRNA from 1 species